rnacentral:rRNA from 1 species
GAUGAACGCUAGCUACAGGCUUAACACAUGCAAGUCGAGGGGCAUCAUGUCGGUUGCUUGCAACCGAUGAUGGCGACCGGCGAAUGGGUGAGUAACGCGUAUCCAACCUGCCCCCGGCCGGGGUAUAACCCGUCGAAAGGCGGCCUAAUCCCCCAUGUAGUCCUCUGAGGUCCUCCGAUGAGGAUGAAAGGUAUUUUUCCGGCCGGUCGAUGGGGAUGCGUCCGAUUAGCUUGCUGGCGGGGUAACGGCCCACCAGGGCUUCGAUCGGUAGGGGUUCUGAGAGGAAGGUCCCCCACACUGGUACUGAGACACGGACCGGACUCCUACGGGAGGCAGCAGUGAGGAAUAUUGGUCAAUGGGCGGAAGCCUGAACCAGCCAAGUAGCGUGCAGGAUGACGGCCCUAUGGGUUGUAAACUGCUUUUGCGCGGGGAUAAAUUGGGGAACGUGUU